rnacentral:sRNA from 1 species
AUAUAGCCCUCGCACACUCCGUUUCCGAUGUGCCGUCCACGCUCACCUGGCCGCUGCUCGCGACGUUGUGUCAGCC